rnacentral:rRNA from 1 species
GAUGAACGCUGGCGGCGUGCCUAAUACAUGCAAGUCGAGCGAACGGACGAGAAGCUUGCUUCUCUAAUGUUAGCGGCGGACGGGUGAGUAACACGUGGAUAACCUACCUAUAAGACUGGGAUAACUUCGGGAAACCGUAGCUAAUACCGGAUAAUAUUUUGAACCGCAGGGUUCAAAAGUGAAAGACGGUCUUGCUGUCACUUAUAGAUGGAUCCGCGCUGCAUUAGCUAGUUGGUAAGGUAACGGCUUACCAAGGCAACGAUGCAUAGCCGACCUGAGAGGGUGAUCGGCCACACUGGAACUGAGACACGGUCCAGACUCCUACGGGAGGCAGCAGUAGGGAAUCUUCCGCAAUGGGCGAAAGCCUGACGGAGCAACGCCGCGUGAGUGAUGAAGGUCUUCGGAUCGUAAAACUCUGUUAUUAGGGAAGAACAGAUGUGUAAGUAACUGUGCACAUCUUGACGGUACCUAAUCAGAAAGCCACGGCUAACUACGUG